CCUACGGGGGGCAGCAGUGAGGAAUAUUGGUCAAUGGUCGGGAGACUGAACCAGCCAAGCCGCGUGAGGGAUGAAGGUACAGAGUAUCGUAAACCUCUUUUGUCAGGGAACAAAGGCGGGGACGUGUCCCCGGAUGAGUGUACCUGAAGAAAAAGCAUCGGCUAACUCCGUGCCAGCAGCCGCGGUAAUACGGAGGAUGCGAGCGUUAUCCGGAUUUAUUGGGUUUAAAGGGUGCGGAGGCGGUCUUUUAAGUCAGCGGUGAAAGCUCGGGGCUCAACCCCGGGCCCGCCGUUGAAACUGGCAGUCUCGAGUGGGAGAGAAGUAUGCGGAAUGCGCGGUGUAGCGGUGAAAUGCAUAGAUAUCGCGCAGAACUCCGAUUGCGAAGGCAGCAUGCCGGCUCCACACUGACGCUGAGGCACGAAAGCGUGGGUAUCGAACAGGAUUAGAUACCCCUGUAGUC
rnacentral:rRNA from 1 species